UCAGUUGUGUUGUGUUGUGUGCUGCACUCUGUCUCUGUCUUUCUAUCACACUCUCACUUUCUCUCUCCCUCCCUCCAUCUGCUCUCUUCCCUAUCUGUGUCCAUCUCAUUUAGUCUUUCUUUCUGGAUCUCCAUUUUGAGGCAUGAUCUUGACUUUGGUUUGGGCUCUUUUCUUUUAAAGUGCUGGCGCCCGGAACUUUGUUUUUAAUGAUAUUCUCAGUGACUUCUCUCUUCCUCUUUCGCUCUCUCUCAUAUACUUUUUACAUUGUGUUGUCACCAUCACCCAGUCACAUUUGCAUGAAUGACGUUUGUAUUUCCUCCAUCAGCAGCAGAAACGGCUGUAAGAAAACUAAAGAGGGAAGAGGAACCAAGGGCCUUUGUGGUGAGAGAGGGUGCCACAGUCACAUGCUCUCUGUUACUCUCUUGUUCUUUUUACCUCGCAAUGUUCCAAAGCUGGAUUUUUGUUUCCACAUUGUGGAUUUAAUUGGGCAAUCUUUAGCUGCUGCCGUGUCACCAUUAAAUUCCAAGCUCUGGUAAUUAGUGAGCUCCGUCUCCCAGCAUCACAAGGGUUGUGUUACCAUGGCAACUAGCAAGCAGAGCUUUGUGAGAGCUACUGAGCCUCCGUGUUCAGUGUCUGCACAGAGAGAGGAAGAGAUGCGUGUUAAGGCCCCUCUCACGACUAUGUAUGUCCACAACGUUCCUGCCCCUGGCCUGCAGCCAUAUCCUCAGGCCCAACCUGGAGCCUUGCAGGAUGCAACGGUUGUACCACUGUUACUGCCAAGGAUGUGUAGCAACUCGACUCUGCCCUCUCUGACACUGCAUAUUGCCAGCAGGGCUGCUUUGCAACAACAAAGGCUAGUGACUCCAGCAACAUCAGCCAGACCUAAGUCUAUUGGGAAGCAUAUUUGCCCACAGUGCGGUAAGGACUGUCUGAAGCCCAGCGUGCUUGAGAAACAUCUUCGUUGCCACACAGGAGAGCGACCAUAUCCCUGCACUACCUGUGGCAUUUCCUUCAAGACACAGAGUAACCUUUAUAAACACAAGCGCACCCAGGCUCAUGCCCGUCUUUCCAGCGAAUCUGACAAAGGCACUUUCAGCAGCCAGGAGAGCAUGGAGAGUUUAAAGGACGACUAUACGAGUCCAUCCUCUGAGAUGAAUGGUGAAGAUUCAGUUGAUAUAAAGAGGAGUAAAGAAGUUCUUCCUGUAGUGACAAUACCAAGUCAGGUAGACUCUACAGAGGCUAAGACAAUGUCUGUAGAAUGGGCAUUACACAAUGCUGCCGUGGUUGGAUUAAGCACAAUACCAGCACUUCAAGACAAGGUAAAUUCUUUGAGAAAAACUGUGGAAUUAUCAGAUGGCAUGAAAAAUAAUACUGCUAUCCAGCAGACUAGUGUACUGAGUGAGGAUGGAUGUACACCACUGAUUACAAAUCGUAUACCUCUUCAGAGGCAGGAAGCUUUGUUUUCCAAACCAUGGGAUUCCCCCAUGUUCCGAGGAAAAUCUCAAAGCCAUGACAGUACAGACUCCGGUUUCAGUGACAGCAGUGAGCAUCAUUCAUCCAGCAGUCCUGGAGCAAGUUUGCAUGAUCCCAGUAUGGAAUCAUUGACAGAAACCACUAUGGAAAGGCAGGAACCAGGCACCUCCCAAACACCCUCAGAGAUGACCCCUGACCCCAAAUCCAAGGUGUCCAUUCAGGAGAAACAAAAGCUGGAAGAACGUAUUUCAAAGCUUAUAUAUGAGAAUAGUGUGUUGGUGGAUAAUAAACAACUGGAAAAUGUGCGGCCAAGAAAGACAAUAUUGUCAAAACAAGGAAGCAUUGAUCUCCCUGUGCCAUACACAUAUAAAGACUCCUUCCAUUUUGAGAUAAGGAGCAGCAAGCACACCUCAAGCUCACAUAAUCAAGACAGAGGAGGUGGGGCAAUUCACAGCUCUGUGCCUACACAGGACUCCACUGGCCUGGAGCAUGCACCAUUAACACGAAGCAGUUCUUUACCCUUUGCUAUGGGUGGCAAACCCACUGAUGGAGCAAUGAAUUUACAUCUUAGCAGAAGGUGUAGUGCAGGGCAUGUUUACCCAUUACGGUCAUCAGACCAACAAGCACCAGGUCAUCGCUCACUAGUUAGGCAGGUAGCGGUAGAUUGUCUGCCCACUGCAGAAGUAUCCCCAGUUGAAAGAGGUAGUAUUAGCAGCCUUAGCUCGGAUGGUGACAGUACUGAUGUUGGAACAGAGCCAACUGUAAAAGGAAAUUACAGGAAGAAAGCCAGAAAAUUCGACUACACAAAAUGGCACACUUACAAAGGUGGGACAUUUACAAAACUCUACAAUACUGAGAAAGACUGUCCACUGAAGACGAAAAAGUCUACACUGAGCUCUGAACAAAGCCUGGAAAUUCAAAUUAAUCAACAGAGAGACAAUGGAUCUAUGUCUCUGAGCUUUACUUCCUGUUCUGUUGUGACCUUACAAAAUGACCCUAAAGUGUCAUAUACCAGCUUUGAAAAUAAUAAGGGGGAAAACAUGGAAAGGGAUGAAAUAAUAGCACAACACACUGACUUCCAUAUCCCAUCAGAAAGGAAGAAACAGCGCACUGGGAAUGAUGUGCAGAUGCUCAGUAUUUCAGAUCCUAGAAUUGGAGAGGCGAAUCUGUGUGGUUUAAUUAGCCAGUUACCCCUGUCAACUUGUGCAACGCACGGUUCCAUCGAAGUUCCAGCACAAAAGGUCAACAUGCAAAAUCUCCACCUGCAGGGUAGCUUCAUAAAUCAGUUCUCAAAUCCAAGUCAGUUCCCUGGUAAUACUCGUAGCCCUGCUUUUUGUUUUAUCAAUGUGAGUGGGACAUCUGGCACCCCGUCUGGUUCUAUCAGCAGCCCUACUGUCCCUAAAGCCAAGACCAGCUUUCCUCCCAAGUACCAGCUGAAGAUUCCGUGUUCCACAGAUGGAGUGUCGGCUUCUUGUUCUGGCUCCACUUUAGCACAUAGCAUUUGCUCAAACAUUCCAGCUCUCAGACAAAGCUGCCAAACUACAGUACAGAGUAAUCUUGAGAAUAGUGUACUAUCCUCAAAGCAGUGUCAGGGUGUUUCAGUAGUCACAACCUUAGACCAGAGUAAGCAAGAUGUAUUGUGUGCUGCAACCUCAAUACCUAUGCUAUCGGUUUCCUGUUCAGAGCUAAAUCAAACAAACACUUUAUCCAAAGUCCUGACACUUCAGUCUACCGUGCCUACAUCAAUUUCACUUGUUUCUCCACCAGUGCAGCAUCAAACAUCUUUGCUGCAGAGCAAAUGUGCAACACGUGUGGUGGAAAACCAGUUAACAGGUUCUGUAUCAUCUAUAUUAAUAACCUCAGAGAACACUCAGCCUGUUACAUCAAUGAACACUUCAACAGUGAGUUAUUGUUCAGAAUCUGGUCUACAAACCUCUUCUUCAAUAACGACGACACCUACAGAACAAAACUGUUCUGCCUCCUCUGUGAUUGAAUCAGGAAAACCCCUUGGUCUUACUGCAGACACCAAAUCCACGGUGCACAGCACCGCCUCUAAAAUUGCCACUGGUGACUUUCAAGGGUCCCAGUCUGAAGGAAAAAUGAUACUAUUAAAUGGUUCAACACAGGCUCAGAACACAUUUUAUGUACGAACAGCUGACCUCCAGAUUGUCAUGCAGCUCAUUUCUGAUGAACAGUUAGCACUUAUAGAGCCUCAUAUUGAAACAUCAACUUUAAGCACUUUAACAAACCAGACAACACUUUCACAGGAGGUAUAUAGCAGUGAUGUGACUCGUGUAUGCAUGGCACAGGAAAUGAUAAAUAAUGGUGAGAUGAGCAAAAAGAACGGUUCCAACUGUGAAUCUGCCAGUCCAGUAAACAAAGCAGAAAUUGUUUGCAGUUUAAACUCUCAAAAUGAUACAAAUUUUGCAAAUGGAAGCCCUCAAUGCAUUUCAUCUUGGUCACAUCCACAAACAAAGGUUCAUAUUUCAGCCUCAGUGGAUUACAGUAAAAAUUCACCUGAACAGUUGUAUGAACCACAGAAGAUACCUGAGAAUUCACAUGAGAGAAAAUCUGAUGUGUUUGAUGCUAUGACAGAGACACACCACAAACUAGUGGCUGCAGACAAACUAAGUGAACCUCAUUUAGUGGACAACAGCUGUUCUAGAAGAGGAAAUGACAAAGAACCCCAAAACUGGUCUGUCCAUAACCAAGAUUCGGACAGCUCUGAGGACCAAACACUGACAGAGAUAAUUAGAGAUAAAGAACUGUUCUGUCUAACGGAGACGAAUCACAUUCAAACUAUAACAAAUACUAAACCAGUGGAGCCAAAUGAAACAGGCCACCUCAUGUCAGUCACAUUACCAGGAAACUGUGAAAGUGUUCAAACAAAGACAACUACACAGCUCAGAACUUGUAUCUGUGAGAAAAAGACUUCUGCAGAAUCACAACAUAUGCGAAAAGUGCUAAACUCUGCAAUACAACCCAAUCAGAACAAGCCACACUGGGCUUCAUGUGGCAGCUCAGAUUUAGAUACAAGAGAAAUGAGAGAAUGUGACAAGAGUAAGUUCGGUUGCAAACAUGGAACCCUGGUGAUUGAAACAUUUUCCCCAGGACAAACACAUACACAGUAUGAAUUCAAACAGGCCUUUUCUCUAGGCCCAGGUGACUUUGGGAAUGACACUUAUAGUCAAGUGAAAGCAUCCUGUCCAUUGCCGAACAGGACAUCUAACAAUCACAGCAUUCCUGAAGACAGCAUCAAACGUGAAGAUGUCCAUACACAUCAUGCCAAUCUGGAAUUAUUUACAGGGCCUGUGGAGGAUGGUACCCUCAAAAGUUUGCAGUUUCAGAGGGAUCCUGGGACAAAGAGCAAGGAAUCAAUUCCUGAGAGUGGAGAUGGGGAAAUAGCCAGCACAGAGGAUGCUGUCAAGAACAACAUAUGCCAAGGCUUCAAAGACAAUGGCAAAAGAGACAAUAGAAAGGAAGAGGCAAUGGCUUGUGUGGAGCAUCAAACAUCUGCUCAAGCUCACCCACAUUUCUCUCAGGAAGUGUCCCUCCACAUUUCAGAGCCAUUUCGGCAUGAAAAAUGGGGAGUUUCAAACAAUCCAGAGGUAUCUGUCUGCACAAACAAUCUUUCCCAAACCUGUCAACUUCAAGGUCAAGGGGAAUGUGACAACACCACCAGAAAUGACAGCUUGGGUGAAUAUUUGGGGAGCAGUCCUUCUCAAGAGACAAGCCAACAAGAGAUAUCUUCACCAAAAUUUUCCAACCAAACAUGCAGACAUCUUUUGGGACAUCCACUCAAAGUGAAUGUCAUGCAAAAUGAAUUCCAAAAGGAGACCCAGACGAGAGGUCCUAUGAGCUAUUGGAUUUAUUCAAAAGGCAGUCAAGUUCAGACAUCAAAACACAAAAUGAAUGGCACAACUGUGUCAGCCAGCUGUGGUUCUUCAAAGACUGAGGCAGUUAACGCAAGUAUUACUUCAUCUAGUGCUGGGUCUAGUUCUUGCAAUGCCUCACAUCAAAUGUCUAGUCAAGAACUGCACACUCAUCAAAUAUCUCCCCCAGCCAUACACAGCAACCCCACAUAUGCAGGUAAUAAUAGUUACCUGCAACAUGAGGACAGUAACAGCAGCAGUGAUGAUGAACAAAAGCUAGUCAUUGAACUUUUGUAAGGUAGAAGUACAUACAAAACAAGGCAAAACAAGGCAAAACAAACCAUUCUCACUCACAAGGUGGCCAAUACUGCCACAUGUCCAAGAGCUCAGUGCGUCACUGUACAGAUGGCAAACAAGCUUUUUAGCGGUUUACCAGCUAGCAAUGAAAAACCUUUGCCAUCAUUAGGCUGACAUGAAAGUUACCAGAGAUCUCAUUGAAAGACCUCCAACUCUACUGGAUUAACCGUGUUGAACAGAAGGAAAACAUCGGAUAGAAAGUUCUUGCAUAAUUAUGAAUAUCUAAUGCACCUGUGUGAAACUCCUUGCACAACUUUCAAUCAGCAGUCAGUCAUGAUUCAUCUCUAAAAGGUGCCGCUUCUGUGUUGCUAUUUGCAAGCAUUGAUCUAAGAGGCCAAAUGCAUGUAAGGAGAGUAAGAGGCAGAGGGGCCCGAGGAAGAGGAGUUUGCAUGCAUGAUGGAGGAACUGCAGCAAAAGGACAAAAUAGAACUGACCAUCCCUGGUGAAAAAAACAGCAUAUGCUGGUAGGUAUGUUUUGUUGCUAAGAUGCUGGUUAGGUAUGUUUUGGUGCUGGUUUAAGCUGAUCCUUUGCUGGUUUAUGCUGGUCCUUAAUAAGCAUAAACCAUCAAAGGGGCCAUGAAGCCUGUCAUGACUCUGUAUGUUAUCAUUUGGGACAAUGUUGCCUUCAGCCUAUCGCCUUCUAAAUGAAUGGUUGGCAGCACAUCCCUGUAUGAUCAUACAGUUCCUCUCUGCAUAUUCUCCUUUUCUGAACUCAACUGAGGAGUUUUUUCUUUGCCUGGAGAUGGAAGGUGUAUGCACCAGCCAUAUGAGCAGAUGUCCCUCCUGGAGGCAAUAAAUGCUGAUUAACUGGUAAUAGGUGUAGAGGACUGCCAGGAAUGGAUACACCACACAAGGAGGAAUUUCCCUUGGUGCACUGCAAGCAAAAAACAUCUAAUGUGAUACUGAUGAGAACCUGUGGCAUAGUCAUCAGGAACGAAUGGACUAAAUGUGAAGUUCUGGGUAUUUCAACUCUUUAUUUUUUUAAUUCAUUUAUUUUUUAGAUAUCUCCACCAAUAAGUUUCCUUUGGUUGCUUUUUUUUAAGUAUUCAACAUUUCGGAUUUUGAAAAGUAUCAUAUUUCAUACUAAUAGCUGUAUUUUGUAUUUUGUUGUCCAUUAUGUAAUGAUUGACUGAAACAGUAUAUUAAUUUCAUCAAAAGUUUGAUGGAAAUAUUUGCUUUUGUUGUAUGUUUUUAAUGUUUUGUAAUUAGUCAGAAAGAGUCAUUUUGCUUUUAACUGUUUUGAAAAUGUGAUGUCAGAGUAGACAAACUGUUUAACCAAUUGAGAAAAACUUUAAAAUGUAUACAAUGCUUAUUGACCAGUCAAUGCAUUGUUGAUUAAGCCAGAUUAAUACAAUAAUAACUAUGAUCAUAGGCCUCUGAUGAUGAAAAUUUGACAGAAAAUCCAUCAAGAGCUAAGUUGUAGCCCCAUCAGAGACAUUUCAGUGUAAUUUUGUAGGCAAAAAAAAGACACUAUUGUCUCCACACUAAAUCUGUAAAUGAUAUGAAACAUCUCAACUCUCUAUAUUUGUGUCUGCCCCUGUGAUUGAUUGAUUAUUUAUUUAUUUAUUUAUUUAUUUAUUUAUUUAUUUAUUCAGUCAUUAAUUCAUUCAUUCAUUUUAUAAAUUCAAUAUCUUUGUAAUAUAUUAUAAUAAUCUUUUCUAAUAUAUUGUUAGGUUUUCCUUCCCGGCAGUUUUACUGAAACAGUGUAUAUCUGUAGCUACUGUUUAUUUCUGACACAACCCAGCACACCCUAAGACAAGGAGUUCCAAAGGCAGUUCCAAAAAGUCAACUACACAAAAUAAACAGUUCACAGGUGCAUGCUAGUAAUGUGAUUUUUGGCAUUAGGCAAGACAACAACAAGCUAUGUAACUACAUUAUUCUGAAAAUACUUAACAAUUAAGAACAAUAACAUCCUUACCUCAGUGACCUCACUCCCCAGAAUAUUGAGAAGAUUCCCCACAAUGUCAGGUUCACAAACGUUUCCCAGAAUAUCCCCAUAAGUCCCCCAUAACUCUCACCUGCUCUCACUCUCCCAUCUGGUUCCAGUUACUGCCUCAUUAAAAUCCUAUAAGUGUCUGGUCACCGUUAGACUACAGAGUUAAUUUCCCUGCAUACUUACCUUUUUGGCUUUCCUGUAUAUUCAUGUAUCUACUAAUGUUGAUACAUUUGGUGUUAUAUUUACCUGUUUCAUCUGCUGUACUCAUAAUAAACUGAUUUGGGUUCUCACAU